GAGCAAUCUGCCCUGCACUUUGGGAUAACCACCGGAAACGGUGGCUAAUACCGGAUAUGACUGCGCCUCGCAUGGGGUGUGGUGGAAAGUUCUGGCGGUGCAGGAUGAGCUCGCGGCCUAUCAGCUUGUUGGUGAGGUAAUGGCUCACCAAGGCUUCGACGGGUAGCCGGCCUGAGAGGGUGACCGGCCACACUGGGACUGAGACACGGCCCAGACUCCUACGGGAGGCAGCAGUGGGGAAUAUUGGACAAUGGGCGAAAGCCUGAUCCAGCAACGCCGCGUGAGGGAUGACGGCCUUCGGGUUGUAAACCUCUUUCAGCGCAGACGAAGCGAAAGUGACGGUAUGCGCAGAAGAAGCACCGGCCAACUACGUGCCAGCAGCCGCGGUAAUACGAAGGGUGCAAGCGUUACUCGGAAUUACUGGGCGUAAAGCGUGCGUAGGUGGUUUGUUAAGUCUGAUGUGAAAGCCCUGGGCUCAACCUGGGAAUUGCAUUGGAUACUGGCAGGCUAGAGUGCGGUAGAGGGUAGUGGAAUUCCCGGU
rnacentral:rRNA from 1 species